AUACUUACCUGGCAGGGGAGAUACCAUGAUCACGAAGGUGGUUUUCCCAGGGCGAGGCUUAUCCAUUGCACUCCAGAUGUGCUGACCCCUGCGAUUUCCCCAAAUGUGGGAAACUCGAGUGCAUAAUUUGUGGUAGUGGGGGACUGCGUUCGCGCUUUCCCCUG
rnacentral:snRNA from 1 species